UACGUAGGGGGCAAGCGUUGUCCGGAUUUAUUGGGCGUAAAGAGCGUGUAGGCGGUUUGGUAGGUCCGUUGUGAAAACUCGAGGCUCAACCUCGAGACGCCGGCGGAAACCAUCAGGCUAGAGUCCGGAAGAGGAGAGUGGAAUUCCUGGUGUAGCGGUGAAAUGCGCAGAUAUCAGGAAGAACACCCGUGGCUAAGGCGGCUCUCUAGUACGGUACUGACGCUGAGACGCGAAGCGUGGGGAGCGAAC
rnacentral:rRNA from 1 species